CUGCUCGCUUCGGCAGCACAUAUACUAAAAUUGGAACGAUGCAGAGAUUAGCAUGGCCCCCAAGCAAGGAUGAGGUCAAACAAGACUGACAAGACCCAGGAGCUC
ensembl:snRNA U6 U6 spliceosomal RNA